CUCUUUCUCUGCAUAUUUUGAAGCUUCUACGUUCUAUGCCCAUGACUGGCAAUUACCGUAGUCUUCUUCCUUUCUACAAGGUGAUCCAAAAUACCAUUUCCGAAGAAAUAGAAGAUGACCCACAGACGCUGCAGAAUUUUGCGUAUGGGACAUAUUUGGGUCUCAUUUUAUGUCUCUCAUGGAACCUCAUAGCUGUUGCAUCGUUAUGGAUUAAGGGUGGGGUAGAAAAUUUAUCUUUGUUCCUAGCCAUUGCCUACUUGGUGCUUGGCAUUCCAGCAGCAUAUGCCUCAUGGUAUCGUACACUAAGUCUUGCUUUCAGAGAAGAAAACCCUUCGAUUUCGAUGCUUGAUAGGUUUCUCUGGUUCUACCUUAUUCACUUUGGCUUCUGCGUAUAUGCUGCAGUUUCUCCUACUACACAAUCUCUCGCUGG
rnacentral:misc_RNA from 1 species